rnacentral:rRNA from 1 species
CUACGGAACUCCUACGGGAGGCAGCAGUGGGGAAUAUUGCACAAUGGGCGCAAGCCUGAUGCAGCGACGCCGCGUGGGGGAUGACGGCCUUCGGGUUGUAAACUCCUUUCGUUAGGGACGAAGCCGCACCUGUUUUGGGUGUGGUGACGGUACCUUUGUUAAGAAGCACCGGCUAACUACGUGCCAGCAGCCGCGGUAAUACGUAGGGUGCGAGCGUUGUCCGGAAUUACUGGGCGUAAAGAGCUCGUAGGUGGUUUGUUGCGUCGUCUGUGAAAUUCCGGGGCUUAACUUCGGGGUGGUAGGCGAUACGGGCAUAACUAGAGUGCUGUAGGGGAGACUGGAAUUCCUGGUGUAGCGGUGGAAUGCGCAGAUAUCAGGAGGAACACCGAUGGCGAAGGCAGGUCUCUGGGCAGUAACUGACGCUGAGGAGCGAAAGCAUGGGGAGCGAACAGGAUUAGAUACCCGGGUAGUCCUCUUCGA